rnacentral:rRNA from 1 species
GACGAACGCUGGCGGCGUGCUUAACACAUGCAAGUCGAACGAUGAACCACUUCGGUGGGGAUUAGUGGCGAACGGGUGAGUAACACGUGGGCAAUCUGCCCUUCACUCUGGGACAAGCCCUGGAAACGGGGUCUAAUACCGGAUAACACUGCCAUGGGCAUCUGUGGUGGUUAAAAGCUCCGGCGGUGAAGGAUGAGCCCGCGGCCUAUCAGCUUGUUGGUGAGGUAAUGGCCACCAAGGCGACGACGGUAGCCGGCCUGAGAGGGCGACCGGCCACACUGGGGACUGAGACACGGCCCAGACUCCUACGGGAGGCAGCAGUGGGGAAUAUUGCACAAUGGGCGAAAGCCUGAUGCAGCGACGCCGCGUGAGGGAUGACGGCCU